ensembl:lncRNA novel transcript, antisense to ERVW-1 and PEX1
UCGCAGUAUUUUCCAAAUUUUCUCUAACAAGCAGUAUUUUCCAAAUUUUUUACAAUAAGCACACACACACACACACGUUUGUUUGCAUAAGUGCCCAACUGGUGGUGAACAACCGCUGGCUUUUAGUCUAUACAUAUCUAGAAUAUUUUAUAAAUAGUAGUUCUUAAACCCUUGAAAGGGAGUGAAUGACCAGCUGAGAAAAUAAAGUCAGUGAUUUCAUUAUUUUCCUAUAUUCACAUCAUGAUUCUAGGAAAGAACUUGGGAGUGACUUCCUUCAGCUUCAGCCACUCCUGGGCCAGGCGCAUGCUUAGCUCUGUGGUAAAGGUCACCAGCUUCUUCUGCAGGGUGCCUGUAUCAUCUGAAUUGGAGGUUUGGCGAGGGUAAGAGACUGAUGUAGGUUCAAGUUUUUCUUUCCUGUCCUCCACUUGAAAUCUGUCUUCCCUUCCAGACUGCCUGCGCUGCUGACUUAAGGCCCCAACACCAAACACAGAAGCAACAGCCUUACACAGAGUGUUCAGCAAGCUCCAACAAUUGUGUAAGCAGCCCAAGCUGACAGAGAUAGAAACAACACAAGGACCCAUCAGCAGACGAAUGGAUGAUCAAAACGUGGUGAGGUCGUGCAGUGGGAUAUUAUUCAGCCGUAGAAGGAAUGAAAUUCUGAUACAUGCUAUAAUGAUGAACCUUGAAAACAUGUUAAUGGAAAUAAGCCAAACUUAAAAGGACAAAUAUUGUAUAAUUCCACUUAUAUGAGUUAGUUACCUAGAAUAGGCAAAUUAUGUCAUAGAUACAGAACAUUAGAGGUUACCAGGGUUGUGGGAAGAGGGGUAUUGUGGGUACAAAUUUUCGGUUUGGAGUGAUUUUGAAAAAAUUCUGGAAAUGGGUAGUGACAGUAGUCAACAUGAUGAAUGUACUUAAUGACACUAAAUUGUACACUUAAAAAUGGUUAAUACUGGGCUGGCGCAGUGGCUCAUGGCUGUAAAUCCCAGAACUUUGGGAGGCCAAGACAGGCGGAUCAUGAGGUCAGGAGAUUGAGACCAUUCUGGCUAACAUGGUGAAACCCUGUCUCUACUAAAAAAUAAAAACAAAUAAAAAAAAAAUUAGCCGGGCAUGGUGGCAGGCACCUGU